UACGUAGGGGCGAGCGUUGUCCGGAAUGAUUGGGCGUAAAGGGCGCGUAGGCGGCUGAUUAAGUCUGGAGUGGAAGUCCUGUUUUCAAGGUAGGAAUUGCUUUGGAAACUGAUCAGCUUGAGUGCAGGAGAGGUUAUCGGAAUUCCCGGUGUAGCGGUGAAAUGCGUAGAGAUCGGGAGGAACACCAGUGGCGAAGGCGGGUAACUGGACUGCAACUGACGCUGAGGCGCGAAAGUGUGGGGAGCAAACAGGAUUAGAUACCCGCGUAGUCCCU
rnacentral:rRNA from 1 species